rnacentral:lncRNA from 1 species
GAGUGCAUUCCCAGAACCAGCAUCCGCGGUGGUCAGAGGGCUGCAGGGAGCUCCGUCCGCCCGCGGUCAGUGACAACCAGCCGGCGCCGGGCAGCAGCGGAGCUCGGUCCCGGAGGUCCAGACCGGCUCCACGCAGGCUGAUUGGCCAGCGAGCUUCAGGGGCCCACCUGCCUCUUCCCAGCGCUGACAUCAGAGUGUGCUGCUGGACCCGGAAUUUUAUGUGGGCACCGGGGAUCCGAGCUAG